CUGAGGGAGGAAGACUUAGUAUCUUCGCUGUUGCCGGAAGCAGAAAAAGGACCUUUAAACAAGUCGGCCUUAGGCCCAGAUAGAAAAAAAACACGCUCUUUCAAAAGUGGGUCCACUCUGCAGAGAAAGGAGGAAAAGAGGACAGCGGCACCGAGCCCUCCGUCUACCGCAGUUUGGCCUCAGAUGCGCCCAUCUCCAGCAGCAAGAAGUCAGAGAGACGUCUGCGUCAGAGUCCCGAGAUGCUGGUGACUGGGAGGCUCACACAUGCCCGACGGCCUGUUUGGAGAAUGACCAGUUGAUUGGAAAAACCCCAAAAUGUCCCUCUAAACCCCAAAUAAUCCCACGACACGAUUUUUUUCUUAACUCUUAAUUAAUUUGCAAAUAACCGUUUGUACAGAUCGACCGCACUGUGUACUCAGCACGAGCAACUAAAGUCCGGAAGUUGCAGAAGGCCAGACAGAUUUACAAGUUUGAGGUAAAAAAAGGAAGAAAAAAAAAGGAAAAAAAAAAACGAAAAGAAAAGAAGAGAAAAAAAAUUAACCAAACAAAAUGUGUUUGGAGAACGAGCUAAAUGUGUAGCAUGGUUGUCCAGUGUACAAAUCGAAAAUAACCCUGUUCUCAGCAUGACGGUCAGGUAGAAAUGACCACUGAAUGUGCAGUGCGAGGCGUUUUCAAGCAUGGGCUAAAGCAGGCCUAGCCUACGUUUUAUGAAAUGGCCCGAAAACAUAUUUUCAAAAAUCUAAAAACUGCAGGAAAAAAGACGUUGACUCUUAUGGUUGAAUUUACCUGUGAAACAAAUCUGAUGGUAAACAGAAAACCAACAAAGAUAAAAACAUUUAUCAGUAAUUAACAUAAUAACAUAAUCACAUAAUCACGGUACGUUUAGCUGGCCUAUAAAGUACAUUUAUCAUUUAUGGGGAAUUUCGAAGAAUAGGGCUAAAAUAAAACAGACACCUGAACUACAUGUGGCUGGACAUUAAAGUAUUGAAUAUAGCCUACAAGAAAAACGCGACAUCACGAAUAAUUAUUAAAGUAUGGACGAAAAACGGUGAAGCUGUUUGUUAAAAGCCAUACAGUAGAACAACAGACCAAAUACUUUGCCCAUUUGAAAAUAGUUUGAGGAAACCUACUUGCAUUUGUCUAUGAAUGUGGCUAAAAUAAUAAUUUAUACUCCCUUGCUGACGCACCAUAUGCUUAUUGACCUCAUUUCAAUUAUAAAUAAAUAAAUAUAAAUAAUGUUGAUGAAAUGUCUUAAAACCUAAUCUCAACCAUGACGUUUUUUUUCUUCUAUUUGUGGAGACAGGGGACAAAAUAAUCAAAUAACUCAAAUGGUUGUUGGCAUAAACCCUUGAUUUUAACAAAUAAAUAAUCUAAAAUAAAAUAUAAAAUAAAAAAUAUGUUACAAAAGUUACAAAAACCAACUGGAGGAAAUUUGCUGGCGUGCCUCAGCCCUGAUCAUGUAAAGCAACCAAUAAGUGUCAAUUAGGCUGAGCUUUGGGUUAAUAGAAGCCCUGAGUAGUGGAUCUCACCACAGCCCUCUAAACCAGCCAUUACUGCAGACCACAACGGCUCAUUACCACACUGUUUUAAGACCCAAAAUGAUGUGGACAAUAUGUUCCCUAGAGCUCACUGUAAGAGGAGAAGGGCACACUGUGGGAUCAGGCAGGCAGAGCUCAGACAACAUGGAGGGACUUUUUUUCCUAAGUCUGUAAAACCUUAAAAUGAUUCUUUCUUCAAAAUUACAAGUUUAAGAUCCCGGGUUAGAAUAUAACUGCAAACCAUGAUUGACAUGUUAGAAACUAAUUAUCUGAGAAGAAACCAGGCGAUUCAUUGCUGGUGAUUGUAGCAGACAAAUAUUCACUUAUCAAAGAAGGAUUUGGCACCAACUAUUUACGAGUUUAGAGAAACAUAAACAGCCAUUUUUAUUCAACAGGCACACGUUUUAUUAGAGUAAUUACUAGAUAUUGAAGUGCAUAAUAAGGAUAACAACAUAAGGAGCCAUCUCAGAUUCUUUUAAAGUAGUUACAGAGUAAAUGUGGUGUCUGAGGAAUUUGAAAAGCAAACAGAUGUUUGACGCACCUGUCUAUGUAGCACAACAUGACUGAGUUAAAUGUUCCCUUCUCAUCCUGCAAAUCCAAAUCUCAAAACACUCUGAUUUGUAAAGCAAAAAACUGUUGUUACAAAUGAUAAUUGCUACAAUAAACUGAAGCAAUAUAACUCAGGGUGGACCAAGGUGAAAAUAACAAAUGUCCUCAGAAGUAAAAGUGAAACAGAGAGACAUUCACGGACCUUUAAGAGAAAAAAGGAGAAAACAAUGCAAAGGGAAUUGGCACUCAUCCAGACAACUUGCGCUAUUUACCAAAUGUACAAAUUUUAAAAAGCUGUUGUGCACAGUUAAACUACUAAGACCUAACAAGAUCACAAAAAGAACUACGGACGGUCAAUCAAACAGAUGGAAGAAAUAAAGAAAAGCAAAUAUAGCUGAGUUGGAGAAUUGAGUGACGGUUAUACCUAAAUGAUAAGGCAUAUUUUAGACUCAAAGCCCUGCAGUGCACAAAAAACACUGCACAACUAAAAAGCACAACCCAAUAAAAAAACAAAGGCCUCAGUCCUUCCGUCUGACUGCUGCAGCAGAUCUCCUGCUCUCACCGCCCUCUGCUGCAGUGAACAUUAAAUACUCAUUUGGCCUUACACAAAAUAUACUCUGCAGCAAGACCACAUGUCAAACUCGGUUUUUCCCUCUCAAUCAUCAUUCCUCUUCCCGUUAAUAGAAAUGACCCAGAGAAUUCUGCGCCUCCAUGUGAGAAGUGCAAUAAGCGGCGGAAAG